CUGCAGCCAAUUAAGCUGACUGUGCUGCUCUUUCCCCACGGGGGCCCAGUGUGCGAUGGCUCAAACAGCUGCUUCCUUCGUAUGCAGCCUGUUGAUUGUCUGAGUUGCCCUAAAGAACCUUGGGGACAGCC
ensembl:snoRNA SNORA70 Small nucleolar RNA SNORA70